rnacentral:piRNA from 1 species
GCCUCACGGGUGACCAGAGUCAGAGUCAGG